GCCUACGGGGGGCAGCAGUGGGGAAUAUUGCACAAUGGGCGAAAGCCUGAUGCAGCAACGCCGCGUGAAGGAAGACGGUUUUCGGAUUGUAAACUUCUAUCAAUAGGGAAGAAAGAAAUGACGGUACCUAAAUAAGAAGCCCCGGCUAACUACGUGCCAGCAGCCGCGGUAAUACGUAGGGGGCAAGCGUUAUCCGGAUUUACUGGGUGUAAAGGGAGCGUAGACGGCCGUGCAAGUCUGAUGUGAAAACCCGGGGCUCAACCCCGGGACUGCAUUGGAAACUGCAUGGCUGGAGUGUCGGAGAG
rnacentral:rRNA from 1 species